GACGAACCGUGCGAACGUUGUUCGGAAUCACUGGGCUUAAAGGGCGCGUAGGCGGCUUGUCAAGUCAGGGGUGAAAUCCGGCAGCUUAACUGUCGAAGUGCCUCUGAUACUGACAAGCUCGAGGGAGGUAGGGGUCUGUGGAACUUCUGGUGGAGCGGUGAAAUGCGUUGAUAUCAGAAGGAACGCCGGUGGCGAAAGCGACGGACUGGACCUUUUCUGACGCUGAGGCGCGAAAGCUAGGGGAGCAAACGGG
rnacentral:rRNA from 1 species